rnacentral:rRNA from 1 species
GGGUUGUGAGGUUAAGCGAAUAAGCGUACACGGUGGAUGCCUAGGCAAUCAGAGGCGAUGAAGGACGUGCUAAUCUGCGAAAAGCGUCGGUAAGGUGAUAUGAACCGCUAUACCCGACGAUAUCCGAAUGGGGAAACCCAGUAUCCAAUGGAUACUAUCAUUAACUGAAUCCAUAGGUUAAUGAGGCGAACCGGGAGAACUGAAACAUCUCAGUACCCCGAGGAAAAGAAAUCAACCGAGAUUCCCCUAGUAGCGGCGAGCGAACGGGGAGCAGCCCAGAGUCUUAAUCAAUAGCAGUGUCAGGAGAACGGUCUGGAAAGUCCGGCAGUAAAGGGUGAUAGCCCCGUAUCUGAAGAUGCUGUUAUUGUGAACUCGACGAGUAGGGCGGGACACGUGUUAUCCUGUCUGAAUAUGGGGGGACCAUCCUCCAAGGCUAAAUACUCCUGAUUGACCGAUAGUGAACCAGUACCGUGAGGGAAAGGCGAAAAGAACCCCGGCGAGGGGAGUGAAAAAGAACCUGAAACCGUGUACGUACAAGCAGUAGGAGCCUCUUUAUGGGGUGACUGCGUACCUUUUGUAUAAUGGGUCAGCGACUUAUAUUCUGUAGCAAGGUUAACCGUAUAGGGGAGCCGUAGGGAAACCGAGUCUUAACUGGGCGAAUGAGUUGCAGGGUAUAGACCCGAAACCCGGUGAUCUAUCCAUGGGCAGGUUGAAGGUUGGGUAACACUAACUGGAGGACCGAACCGACUAAUGUUGAAAAAUUAGCGGAUGACUUGUGGAUGGGGGUGAAAGGCCAAUCAAACCGGGAGAUAGCUGGUUCUCCCCGAAAGCUAUUUAGGUAGCGCCUCGUGAACUCAUCUUCGGGGGUAGAGCACUGUUUCGACUAGGGGGUCAUCCCGACUUACCAACUCGAUGCAAACUGCGAAUACCGAAGAAUGUUAUCACGGGAGACACACGGCGGGUGCUAACGUCCGUCGUGAAGAGGGAAACAACCCAGACCGCCAGCUAAGGUCCCAAAGUCAUGGUUAAGUGGGAAACGAAGUGGGAAGGCUCAGACAGCCAGGAUGUUGGCUUAGAAGCAGCCAUCAUUUAAAGAAAGCGUAAUAGCUCACUGGUCGAGUCGGCCCGCGCGGAAGAUGUAACGGGGCUAAACCAUGCACCGAAGCUGCGGCAGCGACACAAAGUGUUGUUGGGUAGGGGAGCGUUCUGUAAGCCUGCGAAGGUGUACUGUGAGGUAUGCUGGAGGUAUCAGAAGUGCGAAUGCUGACAUAAGUAACGAUAAUGCGGGUGAAAACCCGCACGCCGGAAGACCAAGGGUUCCUGUCCAACGUUAAUCGGGGCAGGGUGAGUCGACCCCUAAGGCGAGGCUGAAAAGCGUAGUCGAUGGGAAACGGGUUAAUAUUCCCGUACUGGUGGUAACUGCGAUGGGGGAACGGAGAAGGCUAGGUUGUCCGGGCGACGGUCGUCCCGGUUCAAGCAGGUAGGCAGAGUGAUUAGGCAAAUCCGGUCACUUAAUGCUGAGAUGUGAUGACGAACCACCAAGGUGGUGAAGCAAUUGAUGCCCCGCUUCCAGGAAAAGCCUCUAAGCUUCAGGUUACCAACAAUCGUACCCCAAACCGACACAGGUGGUCAGGUAGAGAAUACUCAGGCGCUUGAGAGAACUCGGGUGAAGGAACUAGGCAAAAUGGUGCCGUAACUUCGGGAGAAGGCACGCUGGCGGUAGGUAAAGUCCCUCGCGGACGGCGCCCAAGCCAGUCGAAGAUACCAGCUGGCUGCAACUGUUUAUUAAAAACACAGCACUGUGCAAACACGAAAGUGGACGUAUACGGUGUGACGCCUGCCCGGUGCUGGAAGGUUAAUUGAUGGGGUUAGCGUAAGCGAAGCUCCUGAUCGAAGCCCCAGUAAACGGCGGCCGUAACUAUAACGGUCCUAAGGUAGCGAAAUUCCUUGUCGGGUAAGUUCCGACCUGCACGAAUGGCGUAAUGAUGGCCAGGCUGUCUCCACCCGAGACUCAGUGAAAUUGAACUCGCUGUGAAGAUGCAGUGUACCCGCGGCAAGACGGAAAGACCCCGUGAACCUUUACUAUAGCUUGACACUGAACAUUGAGCCUUGAUGUGUAGGAUAGGUGGGAGGCUUUGAAGUGUGGACGCCAGUCUGCAUGGAGCCAACCUUGAAAUACCACCCUUUAACGUUUGAUGUUCUAACCUAGGCCCAUAAACUGGGUCGGGGACCGUGUCUGGUGGGUAGUUUGACUGGGGCGGUCUCCUCCUAAAGAGUAACGGAGGAGCACGAAGGUUGGCUAAGCAUGGUCGGACAUCAUGCGGUUAGUGCAAAGGCAUAAGCCAGCUUGACUGCGAGAGUGACGGCUCGAGCAGGUACGAAAGUAGGUCUUAGUGAUCCGGUGGUUCUGAAUGGAAGGGCCAUCGCUCAACGGAUAAAAGGUACUCCGGGGAUAACAGGCUGAUACCGCCCAAGAGUUCAUAUCGACGGCGGUGUUUGGCACCUCGAUGUCGGCUCAUCACAUCCUGGGGCUGAAGUAGGUCCCAAGGGUAUGGCUGUUCGCCAUUUAAAGUGGUACGCGAGCUGGGUUUAGAACGUCGUGAGACAGUUCGGUCCCCUAUCUGCCGUGGGCGUUGGAAGAUUGAGAGGGGUUGCUCCUAGUACGAGAGGACCGGAGUGAACGCACCACUGGUGUUCGGGUUGUCAUGCCAAUGGCAUUGCCCGGUAGCUAAGUGCGGAAGAGAUAACCGCUGAAAGCAUCUAAGCGGGAAACUUGCCUCGAGAUGAGUCUUCCCUGUCGCUUUAAGCGACCUAAAGGAACGUUUAAGACUAAGACGUUGAUAGGCUGGGUGUGUAAGCGUAGCGAUACGUUGAGCUAACCAGUACUAAUGAACCGUGAGGCUUAACCUGACAACACCGAAAGUGUUUUG